AACCAUGAACACGGACGCCGGCGCCACCCACGGAGGGUGUCGGCCAGACUAAUGGGGGCAAGUAGUGGGACGUCCCUGGCACUUGCCCCAGCUCAGCACUGUGAUGGAAUUUCCCUCCAGGAAAUCUUGCUCUAAGAGGAAUUCCUGAGCCAUCCCUCCCCUGGGUAUCUCCCUCCACGACCCCAGACUGAACAGGCCAAGCGCAGGACUGAAGACACCACGCAGCCAUCAUGAACCAUCCAUUCAAAGCCUCACGUGGGACAGAGCACGGUUGGCACCCACAGGAAGGAUCAGGCUGGCGUGGAGAAUAGGAAGUCAGAGCCUGAAACAGUCCCAGGCUCUGUCCACUGACAGUCUUGGAGCUCUCUCACCCCAGCAACCCAAAGCACACAAAAUACUAUUCUCCACCCAAACAAGGUGGAGAAAUGACGGGUCCAGGGCAAGGAAGAUACAAGAUAGACUUGGACCAUCUUGUCUUUCAAAGCAAGGAGGUACCUUACGAAUAACGGAGAUAUGGCAACAGCACCCAGAAGCCAGAUUUAGAGGGCUUCCACUGACUAAUUCGGGACCAAUUAUACAACUCCUUGAAUAAAAAAAGAAAAAAAGAAACCUUGAGUCUCUACUAAUAGAAGUAAAUAAAUACAUUGAAAAUGUGAUAAGGAAUUAAAUACUUGCAUAGCUGCCACGUGCAUCCACCACGAAAUAUUUUAUUACUAUUAGUUACAAGAGAAAAACAACGGUGACUUUAGUAGAGAAACCUGGCAAAUUCUACCAUAAUAAUGUGGACAAAGUAAACAUUACUGGAUCAGCCUGGAAUUGAAGGGGAACUGGAUGCAGUGGGAAGAACGAACCUCACUUCCAUGGAGAAUCCAAAUCUAAUCGGGACAAACCCAUGCCGAGGGACCUUCCACAAAAAACACCUGGCUUAUAACCUUCCAGAGUCAAAGUCACGUGCCAAAGAGAGCCUGAGGAACCAUAUCAGACCCAAGCAGGAUAGAGACAUGACAACUAAAAAAAAAAAAAAAAAAAAAAAAAGCAUGACUCUGAAUUGGAUUAUUUUGCUAAAAAGGACAUUAUUGGGACACAUGGUAACAUUUCAAUAGUCUGAGCUAAGUGGUAGCCUAAUGUUAGUGUCAAGGUCCUGCUGUGGACGGUUGCCUGUGUUUACAUAUGCAAACAUCCAUGUCUGUAAACAAGAUACACUAACAUAUGCAAAUAGCAAAUGGUUUAGGAAAAAACAUUGUACUGAAUUGUAGCCUUUGAGCUUGGAAUUACUUCAAACACUUCAAAAUAUACUUUUAAAAUAUAAUAAGCUGCGAAUGA